UACAGAGGUGGCAAGCGUUGUUCGGAAUUACUGGGCGUAAAGGGCGCGUAGGCGGCCAUCUAAGUCAGACGUGAAAUCCCCCGGCUUAACCUGGGAACUGCGUCUGAUACUGGACGGCUUGAGUAUGGGAGAGGGAUGUAGAAUUCCAGGUGUAGCGGUGAAAUGCGUAGAUAUCUGGAGGAAUACCGGUGGCGAAGGCGGCAUCCUGGACCGGUAUUGACGCUGAGGCGCGAAAGCCAGGGGAGCAAACGGG
rnacentral:rRNA from 1 species